UACAGAGGUCUCAAGCGUUGUUCGGAUUCAUUGGGCGUAAAGGGUGCGUAGGCGGCCAACUAAGUCGGACGUGAAAUCCCUCGGCUUAACCGGGGAACUGCGUCCGAUACUGGAUGGCUAGAGUUCGGGAGAGGGAUGCGGAAUUCCAGGUGUAGCGGUGAAAUGCGUAGAUAUCUGGAGGAACACCGGUGGCGAAGGCGGCAUCCUGGACCGACACUGACGCUGAGGAGCGAAAGCCAGGGGAGCAAACGGG
rnacentral:rRNA from 1 species